rnacentral:lncRNA from 1 species
GGAGUCAAGCAUCAAGUCAAGUAUAUAAGAGUCAACCAGUCAUAUAUUUUCAUUCAAGUAUGCUGGUGAAUUUGUUAUUUGUUAAAUGUGCGGUGAGUUUAUGAAUUAGUGGUGGUGGAUCGGUGGUGAUAGUGGCGAUUGUUCGAUGGUGGCAUGCGGUGGUCGUCGACAAUCGGUGGGUGGUGGUUAUCGGCCGAUGGUGGCAUGCGGUGGUUCUCGCUUGCUGGUGGGUGGUCUUGGGGCUCCUCUAUUUUAUUUUUUUAUAUUAAUUAUUUUUAUGAUUUUAAUAAAAUAAUUGGUACAUAAGGAUAAAAAAUAUCUUAAAUGAGUGUAAUUUUUUUAUUGUUUUUAAAUGAGGAUAUCUUUUAAGUUUUGUUUUUAAAAAAAUAUAUAUCAUUUUGUCCCUUUAUUUUUU